rnacentral:rRNA from 1 species
UACGUAGGGGGCAAGCGUUGUCCGGAUUUAUUGGGCGUAAAGCGCUCGCAGGUGGCCCGUCGCGUCGUGCGUGAAAGACCCCGGCUCAACUGGGGGGCGUCGUGCGAUACGGGCGGGCUGGAGGCCAGUAGGGGGAUGCGGAAUUCCGGGUGUAGUGGUGGAAUGCGUAGAGAUCCGGAGGAACACCAGCGGCGAAGGCGGCAUCCUGGACUGGUCCUGACACUCAUGAGCGAAAGCGUGGGGAGCGAUCCGG